rnacentral:lncRNA from 1 species
GAUAUUGGAAGGCUAAACUGAGGUGUUGGAAAGGGUAGUCGGCGGAGCGAGAGCGAAGGCAGAUAGAAGAAUGUCUACCGCUGGUCAGGAUGAAGACAAGAAGCCCGAAGAUUCGUCGUCGCACAUCAAUGUCAAAGUCAAGGGCCAGGUCUGGAUCUUUUCUAAAUUAUUUCCUUUGUUGGUUUUAUCUUAGUUUUUCAUUUUUUAAUUUCUAGAUGUCUACGUGUUUCUGAUGGUUUUGAUUGUGUUUCUAGAUGUCUACGUGUUUCUGAUGGUUUUGAUUGUGUUCUAGGGUUUUAAAUUAUCCAUUUUAGGGUUAUGCGCUGUGUUUUUGGGAACCAUUUAUUUAUUGGGGAUCUCUUAUUAUUUGUUUAGUUGUUUUGAUUUAUUGCUCAAUUAUAAAGAAAUUUUUUCUGCUAAGGGCAAAUAAUGUUGAGGAAAGAAUAAAGAAGUUCUAGGUUUUAUUUUUUGGAAAAAAUGCACACUGUAAAGAUCCUAACCUCAAGAUGCCCUCUCUCAAGCUUUCUUUAUAAUCUGGCUUUCUGGGAGGAACGAAUUUUGGAGUUUUAUGAAGCACAAAUACUCCUGCUAGGGCGGUGGGAUGUGUGCACGUCCGACACAUGUCUGUGUUAACACAAAAAAUUCUCAAACACUCGAGGCAUAUCUGACAUGAAACGAGGUGUGUCAUAUUUCUUGAAAGAUUGUCAAUCAUCUUAAUUAAAAGAUAUCACCGACAAAAAUAAAACUAAAAGAAGAAUAUAAUAUAUAAAUAUAUAAUCUUAAGAGUUAAAAUCAACAAGGCCGUAUCCUACUUUUUUUGAAAAAUCAUGUUUCGGAUGUGUUCUUGUUACAUGUCCAUAUCGCCCAUCAUGCCCAUGUCUGUGCUUAUUAGUUUAAGGUUGACGUAUGACUAGAGGGACAUAAGCAAGUGAGAGGAAAAGAAUAAAUCAGCUAUGCACUUCUUAACAUUGAGUUGUGACUCUAUCUCGCAUUUGGUAUCGAAUUGUAUUUGUUUUUGGUAGCAUGGGAGCAAUGAGCAUAACUCGUGAACUUGUCAAGGUUGAGUUAAAUUCAAUUUCACUUUUGUAUUUUUGGGGUUUGUCAAUCGAUGUGCGGCAUGAUUUAUCCUUUCAGAUUUUGAUUAUGCUGUUUCGUUUGUCCGACGAAUUUUUACUUGAAUGGUCUUGUGAUUAGUGUGUUUAUUAUUCAAGCUGUUUGAAUUCCUUUUCUGAUGCUGGAUGAAUCCUGCAUUUUAAGCCCCCGUUUGAUUCCCAUUUUUUAUUCACAAAAAUGAAAAAUAUAACCAUUGUCAAUCACAUCAAGUUACCAUAUUUGAUAUUCUAUCUCUUGUAUGGGUUCCGUAAUGGUUAUUUUUUCAUUUUCAUUCUUAUGAAAAUGGGUCCGAAACGGCUAUAUUUUUCAUCCUUGAAAGACAUUUACUCUAAAUUUUGCUAAAACAAGUCAUUUAGCCUUGUCUGGUUUGGCGAAAAAUCGGAUUUUUAGUAGAUUUUGUUAAAAAAUGAUGAAAUGUGUGGUUGAAAAUGAGCAUGUGAAGAAAAUGGGGCCGAACAUGGGCUUAGUUUAUUUUGAGGAAAUGAAUAUCUUUGUAACUGUGUUGGAUAGUCUUAUGAUUACUGUAAUUGUUAUAUAAGCUAUUUGAAUUCCUUUUGCGACGGUGGACAAGUCUUGCAUUCUUAGUGACGAUCUUACAAAUUUGAAGAUAUCUUAUCUUAAUUUUGCUAAAACAAGUCAUUUAGUAGAUGAAUAUUUGUGUUUUUAAUGGUAGAUGUGUCGAUAUUUCUUCAUACAAUUGCUUAACGAGUCCAUUUCAUAUAGGAUGGCAAUGAAGUCUUUUUUAGGAUCAAGAAAAGCUCCCAACUGAAGAAGCUCAUGACCACUUAUUGUGAUCGACAAUCAGUGGAUUUAAAUGCAAUUGCGUUUCUGUUUGAUGGCCGCCGUCUUCGAGCAGAGCAGACUCCUGAU